AUUGCCUCUUGAUCUUUUGGCUAAGAUCAAGUGUUGUAUCUUUUUAUUAGUUUAAUAUCUGAUAUGUCUUCUAUCUGAGGAUAUUAAAUGCAUUUUUGGAGAAUGAGGAUGGAAUAGGACCUUGCUCUGUCCACUCUGUAUUGACCAGGUAUUGCAGUACUUCUGGGAAUGGUGCAUCCCCU